GUUAGAACGCUCGUAGUCGGAUUUCGGGGCGGGCCGACCGGUCUGCCGAUGGGUACGCACUGGUCGGCGCGUCCUUCCUUCCGGAGACCGUGCCUACUCUUAACUGAGCGGGGGCGGGAGACGGAUCGUUUACUUUGAAAAAAUCAGAGUGUUUCAAGCAGGCAGCUCGCUCUUGCAUGGAUUAGCAUGGGAUAAUGAAAUAGGACUUUGGUGCUAUUUUGUUGGUUUCGAACACCGAAGUAAUGAUUAACAGGGACAGUCAGGGGCACUCGUAUUCCGCCGAGAGAGGUGAAAUUCUCAGACCAGCGGAAGACGAACUACUGCGAAAGCAUUUGCCAGGGAUGUUUUCACUGAUCAAGAACGAAAGUUAGGGGAUCGAAGACGAUCAGAUACCGUCGUAGUCUUAACCAUAAACCAUGCCGACUAGGGAUUGGAGGAUGUUCACUGAUUGACUCCUUCAGCACCUUACGGGAAACUAAAGUCUUUGGGUUCCGGGGGGAGUAUGGUCGCAAGGCUGAAACUUAAAGGAAUUGACGGAAGGGCACCACCAGGUGUGGAGCCUGCGGCUUAAUUUGACUCAACACGGGGAAACUUACCAGGUCCAGACAUUGUGAGGAUUGACAGAUUGAGAGCUCUUUCUUGAUUCGAUGGGUGGUGGUGCAUGGCCGUUCUUAGUUGGUGGAGUGAUUUGUCUGGUUAAUUCCGUU
rnacentral:rRNA from 1 species